AUGACUUUAUUGCCUUGCCUAUUUAGCAUGUACUUGGUGGAUAUCGAUGACUUUUAUCAAUUUGUGGCUCGGCGCGUACCAUUGUAUCAAAUCAUGGACCCUCGCAUGAUCUGCAACAUCCUUUGGAGUGCUUUGGGCUCUUGCAUGUACUUGCCAAUAGAUUUGACUUUAUUGCCUUGCCUUGAUACAAUGCUGCUCGUGGUCAGGGGCGCAAUGUACGUGGAGGUGUUCAAUAGAGGGGUCAUUCUGCCGCCCUGCAACAUCAGGAAGAGGAACAGUAGGAACGGGCUGCCCUUCACCUAUUACGACGGCAUCUACCUGAACUCAUGCCUUUGA
rnacentral:rRNA from 1 species